AACGAACGCUGGCGGCAUGCCUAAUACAUGCAAGUCGAACGAGAUCUUCGGAUCUUGUUGCGCACGGGUGCGUAAGGCGUGGGAAUCUGCCCUUAGGUUAGGAAUAACUUCUGGGAACGGAAGCUAAUACCGGAUGAUGACGUAAGUCCAAAGAUUUAUCGCUCAAGGAUGGGCCCGCGUAAGAUUAGGUAGGAGGUGAGGUAAAUGCUCACCAAGCCUACGAUCCUUAGCUGGUCUGAGCGGAUGAUCAGCCACACUGGGACUGAGACACGGCCCAGAUGCCUACGGGAGGCCGCAGUAGGGAAUAUUGGACAAUGGGCGAAAGCCUGAUCCAGCCAUGCCGCGAGAGUGAUGAAGGCCUUAGGGUUGUAAAGCUCUUUUAACCGGGAUGAUAAUGACAGUACCGUAAGAAUAAGCUACGGCUAACUCCGUG
rnacentral:rRNA from 1 species